rnacentral:rRNA from 1 species
GCGUAACGCGUAUGUAACCUACCUAUAACAGGGGCAUAACACUGAGAAAUUGGUACUAAUUCCCCAUAAUAUUCGGAGAGGCAUCUCUCCGGGUUGAAAACUCCGGUGGUUAUAGAUGGACAUGCGUUGUAUUAGCUAGUUGGUGAGGUAACGGCUCACCAAGGCGACGAUCAGUAGCCGGCUUGAGAGAGUGAACGGCCACAUUGGGACUGAGACACGGCCCAAACUCCUACGGGAGGCAGCAUG